GCCGUUUUAGCUCAUGUUGGCAGAGCAGUGGUCUCCAAAACCACAGGUCGCUGGUUCGAUUCCAGUAAACGGUGCCA
rnacentral:tRNA from 1 species